CCCACAAAGUAUAAAUGAAAGUCAAUGGACAGAUUAUUCAUGUGCACGUUCUCUUAACAAUGGAAGUGACAUCAACGUUUUGGAGGGAAGCAACAUGGAAAACAACAGCAGCAAUGCAGCAGAUUUGAAUGUGCAAAUCCAUGACAUGGCUUCAGACGACUUGGAAUAUAUUGCAAUGUAUGCAGUAUUUUAUGGCAGGAUGUUGACAGAUCACCGUGAACUGUCACUGCAUGCAGAAAAAUUCUUCAGCCACAGAAAAUAGAACAGCAUACGGGUUUGGAAAGACAUGUGGCCUGACAGCCAUGACAGCCAAUCCCAUUCUUGAUUGGGCUGACACUCAAAAGGAAACAGACAAAUGGAGACCAUCACCCUUUCUGGAGCUGAGACACGCUAUCUGUAAAUCACGAUACCCAUUCCACCUUCAAAACCUGCUGGACAGACAGAGAGACACACACCCGCAACAAAAAGUCAAA